UACAGAGGUCUCAAGCGUUGUUCGGAUUCAUUGGGCGUAAAGCGUCCGCAGGUGGCGAUUCAAGUCUGCGGUUAAAGACUGGGGCUUAACCCUGGAAAGGCCGUGGAAACUGAAACGCUAGAGUGCAGUAGGGGUAGAGGGAAUUCCCGGUGUAGCGGUGAAAUGCGUAGAGCUCGGGAAGAACAUCGGUGGCGAAAGCGCUCUGCUGGACUGCAACUGACACUCAGGGACGAAAGCUAGGGGAGCGAAUGGG
rnacentral:rRNA from 1 species